GACAGAGGAUGCAAGCGUUAUCCGGAAUGAUUGGGCGUAAAGCGUCUGUAGGUGGCUUUUUAAGUCCGCCGUCAAAUCCCAGGGCUCAACCCUGGACAGGCGGUGGAAACUACCAAGCUGGAGUACGGUAGGGGCAGAGGGAAUUUCCGGUGGAGCGGUGAAAUGCGUAGAGAUCGGAAAGAACACCAGUGGCGAAGGCGGCUCACUGGCCCGUUACUGACGCUGAGGCACGAAAGCGUGGGGAGCAAACAGGG
rnacentral:rRNA from 1 species